GGGAUAGAAGCUCAGUGGUUGAGCAAUCGAUUGCAGCUAUAUUGCAUAAUAAAUCAUCGAUAGGUCGCGCGUUCGAAUCGCGUCUGUCCCU